rnacentral:lncRNA from 1 species
ACAAAUGAGUAAAAAGAGUGCAAGUUCACCUAUAUAUACUCCCAAAACACUAUUCAUAUCAGAUUGUAGUUCAGGUACAGAUAUUUUUCGUCUGCCCUUCUGAACGUCCGAUUGAGCUCAAAUUUGGCAGUCACGAUCAGUUUAACCUUACUUAAUGAAAGAAAUUUUAAUCUUUCAGUUUCGACCCCGUUUGGUCACCGAAAGCUGUACCGAACUGUAAUCUUUAUCAGAUAACUGUCGGAUUUUAUUUUCCACCUUCCGGGUGUCAGAAUGGCAUGAAACUUUAAAUCUAGCCUCAUAAAAAUAAUCCUAACGUAUUCCCAAAUUUUCGAAAUUUUCUGACACCGUGCAUUUUCUACUAAAAUAUCAGUUCGGUCUCACAUAGAAAAUUCUCAAUCUUCUAUUUUCACUCCGAUUUCUGCACGAGUCAAUCCUGAUGUAUAAUUUACUUGUCUAAGUCCAAUAAAAAUAGUAUCUCACACUAUUUUUAUUUAUAUUCACUUUUAAUAAAAAAAAUCCGGUAUGCUACAUUCUCCACCUCUUAAAAAGAGUUUCGUCCUCGAAACUUCAAUCACACCUCAACUCGACCUAUCGAGCCAUAAAUACUAUCUUCCCCAGUAAUUACCCGGUUUUAGGUAAGGGGAUAAUCAACACAACCAGCGAAAAUAAAUCCUCAAACCACACUAUUUCGUGCACAAAAAAAAAUUCUCAAGGCGAGUCAAGUCAGCUCGCAAUCCAAGAGUACUACGUACCCACAACAACUCCAACAUCAAACAAGGCCAAUCCAUUUGUUGGCACACAAAACCAUCUCACGUGGUAGGGUAUUCGAGGCGACACACCUGAUCAACAGAUCAUCCUACAAGCGUCGAAAAAGUUCAACGGUAACAAAAUCCUCGGGUUGGGUCACCACACACUCGGUGUAUCCUCGAUCUCACGAUCCAACACGUGGCAUUCCACGCUCCAAAGUCAAAGCUCGGACUACCGUCCUGACCAAACUCUCUGCCCCACCCGUAGGUACCGGCUCGCUGUCACACACAGCUGACUGCGCCUGCCCAAAGGGCCCAGGCUCCACAGUCCACAAACGGUCCAGGCACGGUCGUCUCCAAGCACCAUCCGGCGAACAGCCGAACACGGGAUGCAACUAAUGCAAUCAUCGUGUGAUUCACAAGGCAUAGGAAAACAUGCCACCCACAACCCGCAAAUCAACCGCCUAGCUCAAGAGAGCUGAAAGUCAUCGCAAACAGCGAGCUCUGGCAUCCUCGGUACACAACCUCCUCUUGUCCCAAAUAGGGCGACAAGGCAAACUCUCUAAUGUCCAAGGAGUGGUCGGAGAAACACGCGUCUCGUAAGCAACAGAUCUAAAAGGAUGCCAUGCAACUCGGCAAACAGCCGAUCGAAGGAUGCAAAUAAUGCAACGAUAUCCAACAAUGCACAAUUCGGAUGUCACAAAACAACUGAUACCUGUAGCCACCAACUCGGCUGCUGCCGCCUCCGCGGUCUGGGCCGCAUACAUGCGCCCGCUCGGGGCCUGUCGGGACCCCUCCGUCUACCUCUGAAUAGGUGGCUGCCUGGCCUGGUAGCGAGCAGCAGGCGUUCCCUGGCUGGGACCCGGUAAAACUGGUGCCGAUGCUGAAGAGGGCGCUGGUACUAAACCGCUCGGGCAGUCCGACUGAAAGUGACCCUCUUGGCCACAUAAGUAACACCUGCCCUGCCUCUGCGAGCACUGCCGUGGGUAAUGACGACCACCGCAGAUCACGCAGCUCAGAGUCUGACAAUGCUCAGAUCCUCCAUGUUGUUCUGAUCUGCCCCGUCCUCGCGACCGGCUCCUAUUCAUGGGAUGUCUCGGCGGCCUCCCAAAGUGUGUCGGACUCGCACCCUCGGCCGCGGACCUUUUGCCCUUUUCUUUUUUCCAAGCCCUCUCGGCGCUCCUGCAAGUCUGUCGCGCCGCUCUCCACGAUGAGCGCGCGAUUCACCACCUCCCGGUAGGUUUGGAGGUUGGAAGACUGAACAAAUCGGAAGAUCAAAGGCCGCAAUCCCCGCUCAAAGAUGCGGGCCUUAUCCUCGUCGUCCCGAACAACGAAGGGUACACAAUGUAGAAGCCGGGAGAACUCCCUCUCAUACUCGGCCACUGUCCUGUCCCCCUGGCGCACGUUGCGCAGAUCCUGCUCCAUCUUCCUCUUGACGCUGUCAGGGAAGUAAUGCUCCAGUAGGAGUUCCUUGAACUUCCUCCAUGUGAUCGCCGUCAGAUCUGUGCAGGGGUCGUCCUGAAUGUCCAUCCACCAUCGGUACGCCUCGCCGUCAAGGUGAUGUGUGGCGAGCCACACUCUGUCCCGCUCCUCGACAAAGGUAUCCCUAAACAGCUUCUCCAUGGUAGCCGCCUGCUGUAGUAGCACGCCACAUCUACCUGCUGCUGAGCCGUAGCCGCCUGCUGGGUAACUAAGUCGGUAAGGGCCGCAAGCUGGCCUCUCAACUCACGGACCUUGCCGGAUCCGGAAGUAGCGGAGGUCUCCACCUCCUCAAAGUGUGCCGCAUAAUCCGCUCCGACAGACUGGGAGCGUGUAAUCGGCAUCGCAUUACAACAUCAUAUAAGCGCAAGUUAAUGAAACCCACGCUAUCGUAUCCCCGCUCAACUAACCCAUACCCAAAUAAUGCGAAAGUAAGGAAGUGUCUUAUACUACUAACUCCCGAUAUUACGUUGUCGGCCGCCAACGUAACCCUCCGCGAAGUUAGAGGCUAUACACUUCAGUUUAACUCCACUUUCUAGAGCUGUUCCAAGAUACCCAAUCGAGAUACUUUCGCUUACAUGUCAAAUAGACCUCGUCUCUCACGAGCCUAUUUCCUAUAGUCCAACCAGCCUAAGGUUUGCCAGGUCCCCUAAGACUCAACCCUAGGCUCUGAUACCAAACUAAUCUGUCACGCCCCGGGACCAGCGUAGGCCCGCCCGGUGCGUGCCCCAGACCCGCCAUAUGCCUGCACAUAUAAGGCGUCUACAACGAUAGCGAAUUAAAGAACAAUAAAUAGAGAAUAUCUAGAGAUAUCAGAGCAAUUAUACAGCUAGGUUCUAUCAACCAGUAGAAACCACAGAAGCUAGACUACUAAAGUAAAAAGUAAAGUAGUACAUCAUAAGUCUCAAAAUACAAAUAGUGGGUGGUCUCUACAAAAUGGUACAAGUCUCUCAACCUCUCCAAAAGAAACAAAAGAGAUGUAGACUACCGAUCCACCAAUCCCUCGCUAGCUAACUCGAGGCGAUUCCUUUCCCGCGAUCCCAAGCCUCUCCUGGGGUGGAAGGCUCUGAAUGAAAACAUAAAACAGAGGGCGUGAGAACGAUAAUUUAUAGUUCCCAGUGAGCAAUUACUGACCUUAAUUAGCAAAAAGCUCCACUAGGCCCAAGUCAAGAGCAGAUAUAGAUAACGAAAUAACAACUGCGGAAAUAUAAGCAUAUAUUGAAAUGCUAUUCUACUAUGCCACAAGUAUACAUGAUAUGAACGUGGAGUACAUUUACUCUAUCAUGAAUCCAAUAUGCCGAUGCAUAACAGGUAUGCCCUACAAUGGCUACCCAAAAGCUGUGACGCAACAAGUAAUACUACGAAGUAUACUAUCGUGGCAAUUAAGGAUACCACAAUUCCCAAUGUCAACAGAAUCCAACCACGAUACACAAUCAAAUAGUGUUUAUCACUUAUUGUUUACUGUUCUAGUCAAUGUCCACGUGGCACUUUAACUAUUUAAAGUUCAACUCUGAUAAGACCCACCCGAAGGCUGUCUGGCGUGAGACCCACCCGAAAGCUGUCUGGUAUGAGACCCACCCGAAGGCUGUCUGAAGUAUCAAGUCCUCAUGUCGAAAACAUGGAAUUACUCACUAGCAACCCAUAGGUCUAGUCUAUGCCUCAAGUGAAGGUUUACUAUGUCAAUGAUUCCAAUGUCCUAUGUGACCUUAGAUUUACUAAGUCCAUACGUAUUCCAAGCCUAAUGCCUCUUUACGGCAUUAGCUUACUACACCAAUUCCAAGCCCAAUGUCUCUUUAUGACAUUAGCUUACUAGGUUCAUACAUGUCCCAAGCUCAAUGUCGCUUUAUGACAUUAGCUUAAUAUACCAGUAAUAGGAUAAUACGCAUGCUCUCUAGCAUUAUCUCACAUUGCUAAUAUGUAUCUAGCAUGCAUUCCUCAAUGCAUAUAAAUAUUAAUAUGCAUCUAUUCACUAACAUAUGGUUUCAAUGCAUCCGUAUACAACUAUCAAUAUAGCAUAGUUCUCAUAAUGCUACAUGCAUACACUUUCCAAUGCAACUACCAACUUAGCAUAAUUCUCAUAAUAUUAACAUGCACAUACAAUUCACAUAUCAUUCAAAUCUAAUGCCUCUCUAUGGCCUUACUUUGCUAGGCUUAUUUAUAGCUCAAGCUCGAUGUCGCAUUACGACAUUAGUUCCCUAACUCACAAGUUAUUCAAAUCCAAAGCCACUUUAUGGCCUAAUGCAUUCUCCUAUGUCCAAUGAGCUUUAUGUCCAAGACAUGUUACAUUUGUCAUGUCUACUAUAUGAAGCAUGAUUCCAAGUCCCAAUUAGAAUGCUAAACCCAUGCAUAAGUCUCAGUUGCAAGCUCUCUACUACAUAGAGGUCCGAAAAUGUAUUGUAUAUAACAUAAGCAUUUCAAGCAUUCUAAAAUUCACAAAUAAUGCGUCUAUCAUGAAAAUGCGUGAUUUUCCAUUUUACAAUACUUAAAUCCACAUAAAUGAGAUUUUUCUCAUUUGUAGCGAGGUCAAACCCACCAAGAGCUCCACACGACCCUUCGUGCCUGCGACUCUCUUAGCUCCAAGACUUUAGGUGAUGUCACGAUGCUACAAUUCCGGUUUCGUGAUUUUUGGAAGCUUACGUCGCGAGCUGCGACAAUCUGUACCGAAAUCGGCCUUUUCUUCAAUAUCUUCGCGUAGCCUCGUCGUAUCGCCGAACCGACUUCGCCAACGCGUCAGAAAACCUAGCAAUUAGGUUUAUACAUGCUCAAUUUAGAUCAAACCUCUACAUAUUGCAAAACCCCAAUUUGAGCCUUAACAUGCUACUAUUGCAAGAAAUCACCAAAUUGGAACUUGAUUCAUGCAAUUAACAUGUUAUUAGCAUCUAGGGAGUUCUCUAAACCCAUUCCUAGAGCAUAUGAAUCAUUCCUUAGCAAUCUACCAUAGUUACUACCAAAGCUUACUUCCAAAGCUUUCUCUAAUAGAGAGGAAGAAGAUGAAAGCUUGAGCUCCAAGCUACUUUCCAACUUUAAAGGAUUCUACUCCAACUUCUUCUCCAAUUAAUUCUCUUUUGUGGAGAGAUUAGAAGAGAAAAGGAGUGAGGGGUGAGAACUAGAGAGAAAGAGAGAAAAAGAGAAAACAAACUUGCUCUCCAAGUCUCUCUCUCGGGUUGGGCACAAAUGAGAAAAAAGAGUGCAAGUUCUCCUAUAUAUACUCCCAAAACACUAUUCAUAUCAGAUUGUAGUUCAGGUACAGAAAUUUUUCGUCUGCCCUUCUGAACGUCCGAUUGAGCUCAAAUUUGGCAGUCACGAUCAGUUUAACCUUACUUAAUGAAAGAAAUUUUAAUCUUUCAGUUUCGACCCCGUUUGGUCACCGAAAGCUGUACCGAACUGUAAUCUUUAUCAGAUAACUGUCGGAUUUUAUUUUCCACCUUCCGGGUGUCAGAAUGGCAUGAAACUUUAAAUCUAGCCUCAUAAAAAUAAUCCUAACGUAUUCCCAAAUUUUCGAAAUUUUCUGACACCGUGCAUUUUCUACUAAAAUAUCAGUCCGGUCUCACACAGAAAAUUCUCAAUCUUCUAUUUUCACUCCGAUUUCCGCACGAGUCAAUCCUGAUAUAUAAUUUACUUGUCUAAGUCCAAUAAAAAUAGUAUCUCACACUAUUUUUAUUUAUAUUCACUUUUAAUAAAAAAAAUCCGGUAUGCUACACGCCGAUG